CGAGGCUGCUGGGCGCGCCCAGGGCGGGCACUGGGGUCACGCUGAGUGUAUAAAACAGGCCCUGUCCUAGGCGGGCUCCAGUGGACUCUGCUGGCUGUGUCCAAGAGGGUGCCUUCCUGGGGCAGUGCUGUCCAGGUGAAAGAACUGAGGCACAGAGAGGUUAAGCCAUUUGUCCAAAGCUAUCCAGCUGGUACCUGGCAGAGCUGGGAUUUGAACUCAGGCAGUCUGGACCCAGAAACCUUGCUCUUAAUCACUUUGCUAUCUUACAUCUGUUGAGGAGCUGUGCCUCUAGGAAGUGAGAAGACCCCAGGAGCUCCAGUCUGGAUCCCUGAAAUCACAAGCUUUAAGGAAGGAAUUGAAGUAAGGGGAAGGAAGAGGAAGGGAAGGGGGAGAAUAUAAAGCCCCAGCAGCUAGAUAUUUGCAUAACUAUUUCUGGCCCUCAGCAAGAGCUCCAGUUCCAUCUGUGCCUGACGCCCAGGCGUGCCACUUGCUGCCUGACAAGGACAAGAAGAACAAACUGGCAGAGAAAAGGACACUGAGGAGGAAAGGAUGGACACAGCAACUCUCCAAGUUUCUCCCCAACACAACCGCGAAUUAACCAAGACAGUCUGCAUGCUUAAAUGCUACAACUGGGCUUCCUCAGAAAUGUUCCUGACUGAUGAGAUUUUGAACCUUCCAGCUGUCCUGGGCACUUUUUUUUUCAGACUUACAUAGCACCAGGCAUGUUUUUCCCAAGAGGCCACAGCAGACUAUCCACAACUUAGAUAGUUUUUCCUCCAGGUUCUAGGGUCACAUAUAACUUUAGUCCCCAUGGCAGGAUCUGGAAGAGAUAGGUCUGACAGCCCCCAUUCUUGCCAGGUGGACCCUCUUUAAGGCCUCACAUUGUAAAAAUCUUAUCUGACUUUACAUGUCUGUAGCUUCUCAUCCUGGGAAUUACUGAAAAUAUUUCCAAGAAUAGUUUGGGGGAUGGGCAUUGACAUCCCUUGGCUUCCCUGGUGGCUCAGUGGUAAAGAAACUGCCUGCCAAUGCAGGAGACGCAGGGUCAAUCCCUGGGUCAGGAAGAUUUCCCUGGAAAAGGAAACUGCAACCCAAUCCAGUAUUCAUUCCU